CAGUCGCCACGGUAAUACGAAGGGGGCUAGCGUUGUUCGGAUUUACUGGGCGUAAAGCGCACGUAGGCGGACUUUUAAGUCAGGGGUGAAAUCCCGGGGCUCAACCCCGGAACUGCCUUUGAUACUGGAAGUCUUGAGUAUUGUAGAGGUGAGUGGAAUUCCGAGUGUAGAGGUGAAAUUCGUAGAUAUUCGGAGGAACACCAGUGGCGAAGGCGGCUCACUGGACCAUUACUGACGCUGAGGUGCGAAAGCGUGGGGAGCAAACAGGAUUAGAUACCCCGGUAGUCCCUGUCUCUUAUAC
rnacentral:rRNA from 1 species